rnacentral:rRNA from 1 species
GGUUAAGCGACUAAGCGUACACGGUGGAUGCCCUGGCAGUCAGAGGCGAUGAAGGACGUGCUAAUCUGCGAAAAGCGUCGGUAAGGUGAUAUGAACCGUUAUAACCGGCGAUGUCCGAAUGGGGAAACCCAGUGCAAUUCGUUGCACUAUCGUUAACUGAAUACAUAGGUUAACGAGGCGAACCGGGGGAACUGAAACAUCUAAGUACCCCGAGGAAAAGAAAUCAACCGAGAUUCCCCCAGUAGCGGCGAGCGAACGGGGAGCAGCCCAGAGUCUGAAUCAGCUUGUGUGUUAGUGGAACGGUCUGGAAAGUCCGACGGUACAGGGUGAUAGUCCCGUACACCAAAAUGCACAGGCUGUGAACUCGAAGAGUAGGGCGGGACACGUGGUAUCCUGUCUGAAUAUGGGGGGACCAUCCUCCAAGGCUAAAUACUCCUGACUGACCGAUAGUGAACCAGUACCGUGAGGGAAAGGCGAAAAGAACCCCGGCGAGGGGAGUGAAAAAGAACCUGAAACCGUGUACGUACAAGCAGUGGGAGCACCUUCGGGUGUGACUGCGUACCUUUUGUAUAAUGGGUCAGCGACUUAUAUUCUGUAGCAAGGUUAACCGUAUAGGGGAGCCGCAGGGAAACCGAGUCUUAACUGGGCGUUAAGUUGCAGGGUAUAGACCCGAAACCCGGUGAUCUAGCCAUGGGCAGGUUGAAGGUUGGGUAACACUAACUGGAGGACCGAACCGACUAAUGUUGAAAAAUUAGCGGAUGACUUGUGGCUGGGGGUGAAAGGCCAAUCAAACCGGGAGAUAGCUGGUUCUCCCCGAAAGCUAUUUAGGUAGCGCCUCGUGAACUCAUCUUCGGGGGUAGAGCACUGUUUCGGCUAGGGGGUCAUCCCGACUUACCAACCCGAUGCAAACUACGAAUACCGAAGAAUGUUAUCACGGGAGACACACGGCGGGUGCUAACGUCCGUCGUGAAGAGGGAAACAACCCAGACCGCCAGCUAAGGUCCCAAAGUCAUGGUUAAGUGGGAAACGAUGUGGGAAGGCACAGACAGCCAGGAUGUUGGCUUAGAAGCAGCCAUCAUUUAAAGAAAGCGUAAUAGCUCACUGGUCGAGUCGGCCUGCGCGGAAGAUGUAACGGGGCUAAACCAUGCACCGAAGCUGCGGCAGCGACACUAUGUGUUGUUGGGUAGGGGAGCGUUCUGUAAGCCUGCGAAGGUGACCUGUGAGGGUUGCUGGAGGUAUCAGAAGUGCGAAUGCUGACAUAAGUAACGAUAAAGCGGGUGAAAAGCCCGCUCGCCGGAAGACCAAGGGUUCCUGUCCAACGUUAAUCGGGGCAGGGUGAGUCGACCCCUAAGGCGAGGCCGAAAGGCGUAGUCGAUGGGAAACAGGUUAAUAUUCCUGUACUUGGUGUUACUGCGAAGGGGGACGGAGAAGGCUAUGUUAGCCGGGCGACGGUUGUCCCGGUUUAAGCAUGUAGGCUGGUUGUCCAGGCAAAUCCGGAUAAUCAAGGCUGAGGUGUGAUGACGAGGUACUACGGUGCUGAAGUAACAAAUGCCCUGCUUCCAGGAAAAGCCUCUAAGCAUCAGGUAACAUCAAAUCGUACCCCAAACCGACACAGGUGGUCAGGUAGAGAAUACCAAGGCGCUUGAGAGAACUCGGGUGAAGGAACUAGGCAAAAUGGUGCCGUAACUUCGGGAGAAGGCACGCUGGUGUGUAGGUGAAGUCCCUGCGGAUGGAGCUGAGACCAGUCGAAGAUACCAGCUGGCUGCAACUGUUUAUUAAAAACACAGCACUGUGCAAACACGAAAGUGGACGUAUACGGUGUGACGCCUGCCCGGUGCCGGAAGGUUAAUUGAUGGGGUUAUCCGUAAGGAGAAGCUCUUGAUCGAAGCCCCGGUAAACGGCGGCCGUAACUAUAACGGUCCUAAGGUAGCGAAAUUCCUUGUCGGGUAAGUUCCGACCUGCACGAAUGGCGUAAUGAUGGCCAGGCUGUCUCCACCCGAGACUCAGUGAAAUUGAACUCGCUGUGAAGAUGCAGUGUACCCGCGGCAAGACGGAAAGACCCCGUGAACCUUUACUAUAGCUUGACACUGAACAUUGAGCCUUGAUGUGUAGGAUAGGUGGGAGGCUUUGAAGCGUGGACGCCAGUCUGCGUGGAGCCAACCUUGAAAUACCACCCUUUAAUGUUUGAUGUUCUAACGUUGGCCCCUGACCGGGGUUGCGGACAGUGUCUGGUGGGUAGUUUGACUGGGGCGGUCUCCUCCCAAAGCGUAACGGAGGAGCACGAAGGUUAGCUAAUCCUGGUCGGACAUCAGGAGGUUAGUGCAAUGGCAUAAGCUAGCUUGACUGCGAGCGUGACGGCGCGAGCAGGUGCGAAAGCAGGUCAUAGUGAUCCGGUGGUUCUGAAUGGAAGGGCCAUCGCUCAACGGAUAAAAGGUACUCCGGGGAUAACAGGCUGAUACCGCCCAAGAGUUCAUAUCGACGGCGGUGUUUGGCACCUCGAUGUCGGCUCAUCACAUCCUGGGGCUGAAGUAGGUCCCAAGGGUAUGGCUGUUCGCCAUUUAAAGUGGUACGCGAGCUGGGUUUAGAACGUCGUGAGACAGUUCGGUCCCUAUCUGCCGUGGGCGCUGGAGAAUUGAGGGGGGCUGCUCCUAGUACGAGAGGACCGGAGUGGACGCAUCACUGGUGUUCGGGUUGUCAUGCCAAUGGCACUGCCCGGUAGCUAAAUGCGGAAGAGAUAAGUGCUGAAAGCAUCUAAGCACGAAACUUGCCCCGAGAUGAGUUCUCCCUGAGACUUUAAGUCUCCUGAAGGAACGUUAAAGACGAUGACGUUGAUAGGCCGGGUGUGUAAGCGCAGCGAUGCGUUGAGCUAACCGGUACUAAUGAACCGUGAGGCUUAACCUU